CAUACGGGGCUUUAUGUCUUGUAAUUGGAAUGAUGGGAAUUUAAACCUCUUCCAGAGUAUCAAUUGGAGGGCAAGUCUGGUGCCAGCAGCCGCGGUAAUUCCAGCUCCAAUAGCGUAUAUUAAAAUUGUUGCAGUUAAAAAGCUCGUAGUUGAAUUUCUGCUGCAUUGCAUUUUCUCCUAUACGAGUUUUUGCAUUGUGGCUUAUUUCGGUUAUAAAAUUUAUUUUUAUUUCCGGAUGUUUACUUUGAGAAAAUUAGAGUGCUCAAAGCAGGCUUUUGCCUUGAAUAGUUUAGCAUGGAAUAAUAAAGUAGGACUUUGGUUCUAUUUUGUUGGUUUUAGGUACCAAAGUAAUGGUUAAUAGGAACAGUUGGGGGCA
rnacentral:rRNA from 1 species